ensembl:lncRNA
CAGAUGCACAGGUGGUUUCCCACCCCAGUAUGUGAACUGAGGUUCAUCCACGGUGAAGUUUGCAGACUAGAAAGAUUGCCUCAGGCUUUUCUCCUUUAGGAAUAUGUUGCCUUCACAGUCUGAGAUUGUGCCAACCAGCCAAAGAAUUGAGUGGAAUGAACUGUGUGGCCAUCUAUAUUGAUAACGAAGGGACCUGCAUGCAAAUGAUAGGAUCAGCAGUGCUAUAGCCUGGUCAUGCUGCAUGGAAACAGUCUUCUCAAGAAUCAGUUUUUAAAAAUCAGCAGAAGGAAAGAUGCUGACCCUCUCCAAUUCUUUUCCAUUUGAGUUUUCAGCUACACUGUCACCAGCAUUUUUUUAAUAGCUAAUACAGUAGGACAGGUGUCCUGAAAUAAGUGCCCUGUCUUUGGAAAGAGCAAAUGGGUGACAAUAUCUAGAUCUGAAGUUUACAGCAACACUGAACCGACCAUACUGGUUAUCCUCAGGGAGCCCAGAGCUACAUGACAUAUAUUUUCUGAAAAGAGGUUGAAAUCAAGCAGAGUGAGAGCAAAAUCUGCAACUGAAGACUAGUUAAAAUUUUAUGCUAAAAUAUAUGAUACCGAAAUGAGGUUGGUUUAGUUUUUUUUCAAUUAUAUUUAACCCUUAAAAUCUCGAAUAAAGAACUAUCAUGGUAUAUUACAAUAG